rnacentral:rRNA from 1 species
AAUCAACGCUGGCGGCGUGCCUCAGACAUGCAAGUCGAACGAUUAAAGCUCUCUUCGGAGAGUGUAUAGAGUGGCGCACGGGUGAGUAACACGUAAGUAAUCUACCUUCGAGUGGGGAAUAACGUCCGGAAACGGACGCUAAUACCGCAUAAUGCAGCGGCAUCGCAAGAUGACAGUUGUUAAAGAUUUAUCGCUUGAAGAGGAGCUUGCGGCAGAUUAGCUAGUUGGUAAGGUAAUGGCUUACCAAGGCUACGAUCUGUAACCGGUCUAAGAGGACGGUCGGUCACACUGACACUGAAUAACGGGUCAGACUCCUACGGGAGGCAGCAGUCGGGAAUUUUGGGCAAUGGGCGAAAGCCUGACCCAGCAACGCCGCGUGAAGGAUGAAGUAUUUCGGUAUGUAAACUUCGAAAGAAUGGGAAGAAUCAAUGACGGUACCAUUUAUAAGGUCCGGCUAACUACGUGCCAGCCGCCGCCGUAAC